AAGUGGGAAACGAUGUGGGAAGGCCCAGACAGCCAGGAUGUUGGCUUAGAAGCAGCCAUCAUUUAAAGAAAGCGUAAUAGCUCACUGGUCGAGUCGGCCUGCGCGGAAGAUGUAACGGGGCUAAACCAUGCACCGAAGCUGCGGCAGCGACGCUUAUGCGUUGUUGGGUAGGGGAGCGUUCUGUAAGCCUGCGAAGGUGUGCUGUGAGGCAUGCUGGAGGUAUCAGAAGUGCGAAUGCUGACAUAAGUAACGAUAAAGCGGGUGAAAAGCCCGCUCGCCGGAAGACCAAGGGUUCCUGUCCAACGUUAAUCGGGGCAGGGUGAGUCGACCCCUAAGGCGAGGCCGAAAGGCGUAGUCGAUGGGAAACAGGUUAAUAUUCCUGUACUUGGUGUUACUGCGAAGGGGGGACGGAGAAGGCUAUGUUGGCCGGGCGACGGUUGUCCCGGUUUAAGCGUGUAGGCUGGUUUUCCAGGCAAAUCCGGAAAAUCAAGGCUGAGGCGUGAUGACGAGGCACUACGGUGCUGAAGCAACAAAUGCCCUGCUUCCAGGAAAAGCCUCUAAGCAUCAGGUAACAUCAAAUCGUACCCCAAACCGACACAGGUGGUCAGGUAGAGAAUACCAAGGCGCUUGAGAGAACUCGGGUGAAGGAACUAGGCAAAAUGGUGCCGUAACUUCGGGAGAAGGCACGCUGAUAUGUAGGUGAAGUCCCUCGCGGAUGGAGCUGAAAUCAGUCGAAGAUACCAGCUGGCUGCAACUGUUUAUUAAAAACACAGCACUGUGCAAACACGAAAGUGGACGUAUACGGUGUGACGCCUGCCCGGUGCCGGAAGGUUAAUUGAUGGGGUCAGCGCAAGCGAAGCUCUUGAUCGAAGCCCCGGUAAACGGCGGCCGUAACUAUAACGGUCCUAAGGUAGCGAAAUUCCUUGUCGGGUAAGUUCCGACCUGCACGAAUGGCGUAAUGAUGGCCAGGCUGUCUCCACCCGAGACUCAGUGAAAUUGAACUCGCUGUGAAGAUGCAGUGUACCCGCGGCAAGACGGAAAGACCCCGUGAACCUUUACUAUAGCUUGACACUGAACAUUGAGCCUUGAUGUGUAGGAUAGGUGGGAGGCUUUGAAGUGUGGACGCCAGUCUGCAUGGAGCCGACCUUGAAAUACCACCCUUUAAUGUUUGAUGUUCUAACGUUGACCCGUAAUCCGGGUUGCGGACAGUGUCUGGUGGGUAGUUUGACUGGGGCGGUCUCCUCCUAAAGAGUAACGGAGGAGCACGAAGGUUGGCUAAUCCUGGUCGGACAUCAGGAGGUUAGUGCAAUGGCAUAAGCCAGCUUGACUGCGAGCGUGACGGCGCGAGCAGGUGCGAAAGCAGGUCAUAGUGAUCCGGUGGUUCUGAAUGGAAGGGCCAUCGCUCAACGGAUAAAAGGUACUCCGGGGAUAACAGGCUGAUACCGCCCAAGAGUUCAUAUCGACGGCGGUGUUUGGCACCUCGAUGUCGGCUCAUCACAUCCUGGGGCUGAAGUAGGUCCCAAGGGUAUGGCUGUUCGCCAUUUAAAGUGGUACGCGAGCUGGGUUUAGAACGUCGUGAGACAGUUCGGUCCCUAUCUGCCGUGGGCGCUGGAGAACUGAGGGGGGCUGCUCCUAGUACGAGAGGACCGGAGUGGACGCAUCACUGGUGUUCGGGUUGUCAUGCCAAUGGCACUGCCCGGUAGCUAAAUGCGGAAGAGAUAAGUGCUGAAAGCAUCUAAGCACGAAACUUGCCCCGAGAUGAGUUCUCCCUGACUCCUUGAGAGUCCUGAAGGAACGUUGAAGACGACGACGUUGAUAGGCCGGGUGUGUAAGCGCAGCGAUGCGUUGAGCUAACCGGUACUAAUGAACCGUGAGGCUUAACCUUAC
rnacentral:rRNA from 1 species